rnacentral:misc_RNA from 1 species
AUUAUGGUGCGUACCAAAUCCGGAAAUCGUACGGUGACCGCAUGCUUGCAGGUGUCGGCGGCACGUUGCUACUCCUUUGCGCGUUUCUGUUCAUUCCUUUCCUCUUCAGGAACGCCCCAUUGGCUAUCGAGAAGGUGAUCGCGUACGAUGGGACGGUCAGUCCAUUACCUCCACCGCCGCGGAUCAGGCCGCAAGUGGAGCCUGCACGGCAGGUCGCUCAACAAGCUCAAAAUACAAACGUACCGCCCCGGAUUGUCUCCGAGCCGGUAGUUGAAACAGUUCCGGUUCCGAACGUGGACGUUGUUGGCACCA